AGAUCUCCUUCUCCUCUACGCAAGAACCUCGAUUUCCAAAAAGAAAAAGGUAAAUAUCCAUCCCUAUCUAGUCUUUUGAUGACAUUAGGCUAUACAAAGGGUGGAUGUAGUCUAGAGGGGUCGGAUAAGGGUUGUAGAGGCGGUUAAAAGAGGAAGAAUCAGAUUUUGACAAAUUUUUCCGGUACUACGGAAAAACUGUGUCGAAGUUCCAACUUCGGCGAAUUAUUU
rnacentral:lncRNA from 1 species